rfam:Pochonia chlamydosporia 170 chromosome 4, whole genome shotgun sequence.
CGCAAUGAUGAACCCCAAGAUAGGGACAGCUUAUACUUCGGUAUAUGAUGUGAACCUGGGCGAAUAUUUUAGUAGAUGCUUCGAUUUUCUGAGC